CUUCCGCCGAAGCGACAACUUUUGCAGCGUCGCCGCCUCCAGUCCUGUGGAUGUGCCCAGUCCGGCACCACCACCCGCUGCCGCCAUCAGCGCAGCCUGGAAAAAAAAGCAUCUUGUGGUGGUGCCAUUCUCCUCCUGAUAAGGUAGAGGAAAUAUCAUGGAGGGCUCUCAGUGACGCCAAUUCAUCACCAGCAUCCAGACAGAUAGGUUCAAGGUGGUACGUCUCCACCCUGGGAACAUCGUGUUCCUCAGCCACAUGGCAGAGGACAACUUUGGAAACUACUGGAACAAAGAGAAUUUUUUAAGUCUCUGUCCCAAAAUGUUAUCCUGUACCAGAGAAAAAUUUACAUCCUUGGGCGAAUAGGACAUCAGCAAAAGAUCCGCUCCAUCGGGAAGCCUGCACAUCACCUCAUCCUCCCUCCCUUUCCCUUAAAGAGGAGAUGCAGUGAGCUGACUCUCCCAGGGUUCAUGGCAUCAGCAAAAGGCAACAAAGUGCAGGAGGUAAAUGAGAAAGGUAGCAAGGGCUUCUCUAGGUCCAGCUCACCGGACCUUAUACAUCAGAUAUGAACUCACCUGUGAAUUCUGCCCCACGGGGUGAUUGUUGAAGGCAUUAAGCAAGUCUGAGGAGACAAAAAAUGCGGCCCCAUUUGGUGACACAAGUAAGGGGACACAUGUGGAGGCUGAGAUGGACAAGACUGGCAGCACCUUCACUUUUAUUCUCAAGACUCCGGAGGUCUUAGGGUUCUCGGAGGACACCGACUACCAGAGGACCAGAGGAUGUCACUGACAUUAGAGAGAACAACACCACCAGUGCAGACAUUAUCAGCCAGAUGGCGCAGGAUCACAUAUAUGAUGUGUCCCCUCCCCAUCAUGGAAACAACCAACAUGAAAUUGUCAAAGACAUGCUUCAGCAUCUGCAAAUGAGCAGCCCCAGGAGGCACCCCGACUCCAAGAAGCACAGCAGAAGGGACUGGAAGGAACAAGGAGGCAGAUUAGGAACCUGUUUAGAAGGUUUUGUUGCUGUUUCCCCACCCCCAGGACAAAAGACACAACAUCCAGGGUUAAAGAUGAGGCCCAGGCCCAUGGUUCCUAAACCAUUGAUCUGUGUUCGGCCUGGUGUGACUUAACAGCCCCGGAAGAGCUAGGCCAGAACUUGAAAGGAAGUGUACCCCAAACCUGUUGUUCCCUGCCAGACACCUCCAGCAACCAGGUCGCCUUCUCUGUACCCUCCUCUCCUGCAGAGUAUGAGCAACCAUCUCCCCACUGUUUGAAGAGCAUUGUUCCUCUAGCACUAGUGACUGGACAGAGAAGCCAGCUAUAUAACCACCUUGUUAUUAAGAGGCAGCCAUCCCUCCUCUGUGGUCCAUGUGACAGAACCUCCUUCCUUCAGACCCCAAGGUGCUGUUCUCCCAUGCAAGGAUUAUUCAAACAGAUAAAUCCCGUGGGGGAUUCCUUGACUUGGAGUGAGAGUCUACGAUCGUUCUGUCUACUGUGAAUAGGGAAGUAGUGCUUGACAGCGCUGUGGAGCAUCACUGCCCAGGCAAGCCCGGCAUCCUUGGCACUUCUCUGAUCCCGGUGUCCACCUUCAGGGUCAAGAAUAGAAGGACACCUAAUUGCCACAGAGCUGCAAAAACCAACAUGUGGUAGUGUGUGCGCAGCCCUACUGAGUGAGGUAUCUGCAGUGUCCCCCUGGCACCUUUCAGGUAGGGGGCAGCUUUCUGGGUCAGCAGGAAGUGCUGGUAACAGGAAUGUAAGUGCCUGAUUUUUGGAGACCACUCAGAUGAAGUGGUUUGACGUCACUAAGUAUCUCUUUGUGGUGCAAGAUAAGAUUCUGCUAUCUGAUCUGCCAUAACACGGCAAUGAAAUUGAUCUUUUUUUCCUCUGCAGAGGCUCCUAGUCUUGGUCACUGGGAAUGUGGACCUCUGUGCAAGCUCAGCAAUUUCUCUGGAAAAGAGUUCCUGAACCAUACCUGUAGCCAAGACCAAGCUGCUAUGACAGUCUACACUGCUCCACCUUGUGGCGACGAUGACGCAGUGGGUCCUCAUAAUGAGAACUUGGCUCUUGUGUUAUUGUAGCCCUGAAGCCUUUCCCAGCUGUUCUAGGGCCUAGGAGACAGGAACAAGCAGGUGUUCUAGGAAACAUCCUCAACGUUUUCCAGCCUUGUCCCUCAUGAUCAUCUUAGGAAGAUAUGAGAAGAGACUAUUGGGAUCCAUUUCUUUCCCUCAGAAACUUUUUGGAGGAAGCUGCAUUCACACUGGCCCCAGGUUUGGCUCCCUGAACCCAUGUUGGAUGUCUCAUGACCACCACACAAGGUCAGAACAGAUGUGUCUGCUGAAGAGCAUGAUGGAGUGUCUGGAAUCUGAAGAGCAGCAGGAUGAAUUCUUCUCGACUGGCUGGCUGGGAGGGACCCAGCCCAGCAGUCCUUGGCUUCUUAUAGGAGGCUUGACCACAACACCUCAGUGCUGUGGACCCCGUGCAUGUGCAUCCGCCCUGGCAUUCAAAUGCAGGUCACUGGAAGAAACUUUAACAGUGUAACUAUCUCUGUAAUUUAAACGAGAUUUCUACAGGCCUGGUGUGGAAAUUAUUUUAUUAAAUGCUCACUGGAUUAA